rnacentral:rRNA from 1 species
ACGGAGAAAGGUGAGGAUGAAGUCAAGUCAGCAUGGCCUUUAUAUCCUGGGCUACACACACGCUACAAUGGCUGGUACAAUUGGUCGCGAAACCGCGAGGUGGAGCCAAUCCUAAAAGCCAGCCUCAGUUCAGAUUGUAGGCUGCAACUCGCCUGCAUGAAGAUGGAGUUGCUAGUAAACGCAGGUCAGCAUUACUGCGGUGAAUACGUUCCCGGGGCUU